ensembl:lncRNA novel transcript
AGUAGAGGGCAGAGAAAAGCCCUGGGCUCAGCCAGAGAAGGGCAGAGGACAGAGGACUGAGAGAGGACUGGACAACCAGCUGCAAAGAGGAGCUACCUUCUCUGUGAGAGCUUCAGAGACCUGCAGAGACAUUGAAUGAACUGCCUGCAGAGAGGAGUCACCCUCUCCAAGGUCUUCGCUCUGCUAAGAACAGCAGACAAUGGGGCAACCAGUGGGCAGAGAGGAGCUACCCUCUUCAGAGCCUCCUCUCUGCUGAGAGCUGGACACUUGAUUGGAUGAUCUGCCUACAGAGAGGAGCAACCCACUGUGGAUUUUCUCUGAGCUGUAACACUCAAUAAAGCUCUUCUUUGUCUUGUUCACCUUCCACUUGUCUGCAUAGGCAGGAUUUGGCACCACUGGCAGUGACACUGUAACAUUUUGGGGGCUCAUCUGGGAUCUCCAAAAGGGUAAGUAAAAGUGGAUCUACUUUCUGUCCUUUCUUUUGGAGUCUCUAAACUCCACAAUAGUCAAAA